AUUGAACGCUGGCGGCAGGCCUAACACAUGCAAGUCGAGCGGAUGAAGGGAGCUUGCUCCUGGAUUCAGCGGCGGACGGGUGAGUAAUGCCUAGGAAUCUGCCUGGUAGUGGGGGAUAACGUCCGGAAACGGGCGCUAAUACCGCAUACGUCCUGAGGGAGAAAGUGGGGGAUCUUCGGACCUCACGCUAUCAGAUGAGCCUAGGUCGGAUUAGCUAGUUGGUGGGGUAAAGGCCUACCAAGGCGACGAUCCGUAACUGGUCUGAGAGGAUGAUCAGUCACACUGGAACUGAGACACGGUCCAGACUCCUACGGGAGGCAGCAGUGGGGAAUAUUGGACAGUGGGCGAAAGCCUGGUCCAGCCAUGCCGCGUGUGUGAAGAAGGUCUUCGGAUUGUAAAGCACUUUAAGUUGGGAGGAAGGGCAGUAAGUUAAUACCUUGCUGUUUUGACGUUACCAACAGAAUAAGCACCGGCUAACUUCGUG
rnacentral:rRNA from 1 species